CACACACGGCUCUGACGAUGUUUUCACACUGCUUAAAGACAAUAACGUGUCUGGGUCGUUUCCUUGGAGACUCCAUGUUGUCAUGACGACAUCAUGUUCUCCCACAGGUUCCUACAGGAUCCAGGUCUGGAGACUGGGGUGUGGCAUGUGUUCCUGGUCCUCUGAUUGGCUGAUUGGAUAUCUCAGUAACACCUCGACAGAACUUCUUCAAAUUCUGCACAAACAUUCACUAGGACUCAAGGAUGAACUGAUUAUAUUUUGGUGGCUAAAGGUCAAAGGUCAAGGUCUCGUUGACCUCAGAAACAUGAUUUUGGUCUUGUGAACAUGAACUUCUCACAGGAAUCUCAAACAUUCAGUUGGACUGAAGGAGGAACUGAUUAGACUUUGGGCGUCUGAGUGGAGCGGGUGAUUCUGGUUUGUGUUGUGUCCAGGUGCACCGACACACAAUUUAAACUCCUCCCCCUUUCCUCCAUCCUCAUCCAAUCCCGCUCCCAGACGUUCCGCCGCCCUCCGCAGGACGCGGUGGGGGAGACACAUCUGCAAUUCAUACUUUGCCCUUUCUCAAAUCACAUUUCUCCUGCGUGUCAGCGCGGCUGAUUGUCUGAUCAGGAGGCGAUGACGCCUCCCAGACAGGAAGUGUGAACGUGUCACACGUUAAAUCCCCUCAGCAGAGAUUACAGCAGACAGCGGCGCUGAGCUCUGACACCCGGAGGCUGAAUCCCCCCGGACCACAUGCAAAUGAGGAACAUCCCAAAUUACCUCAUGCAUGAAGAGACACAAUCAAUAAUUAUCAAGCGGCUUCUUCUCGGCCGACGCCUGCUCUGCAUGCUGAUCCACAGAGGGGCGGAGCUUCACAGGCGACCUGUCGACUCUCAGACGUUUUGGUUCAUCAUUCAUCAUAAAUGACUCUCCUGGUGGCCUUGACUCGCCACACCGCCCCUCACCCACCCCUCAUUGACCUCUGACCCCACACUGCUGCGACCCACGGAGAGCAAACAAACAGAAACCUGAGCUGGGCUCAGUGGGAGCUGAGGUGGAGCUCUGAAGUGAUGAAGAUGAGUGAUGAUGAGACAUUUUGUCUUCGUGGAAGAAAUACACACUAUCGAAUCAAUACAGGAUGCAGCAUUUUAUUUUGAAAUGCAGGGCUCUCUGAGAUUGAAGUAUUUCAGCUGAACAGCAUUGUGUUAAUUCAUUAGUUUUUUUUUUACUUUUCUCUGAAUUUUAAUUGAUAUUAUUGAUCAUUUUAUUCUUUCUUCUAAAACCUUUUAAUUGUUUUGAUUUAAUUACAUUGUCUUUUGGUGAACAAUGAAUUUCCUGUUUCUAUGGAGACAGGCGAGAGCGGCACAAAGCUUGCUCAGUCAAGGUUGACAUGAUUUGAAUCUGCAGACUGACGGUUGUAACUUCACUUCCUCUACAGUCCUUUUAUUUUUUAAGGUAAAAAUCAGUGAAACAGAAAAAAAUUAAAACUUCACAAAAACUAAAAUGUUGAAAUUUAAAAACAAUAAA